rnacentral:rRNA from 1 species
AUGCAGAUCUACGAAAGCACGGGCAACUUAGGCAGCACGGUGAGCUUCUUUGGUUGGUGGCUCGAUGUCGCUGAAUAUGCCCCGUCCGGGCUAUGGAAGGGUGUCAACUCCCUCAUCUCCCUUGUCGCUUGGUCAGUUUGGAAGCAUUGCAACGUCAUUGUCUUUGAUAACGUGCAACCCUUAAUGACUAACUCUCUCUGCAUCAAAGAGGAGGCGCGUCUCUGGGCUCACGCUCGCGCCAAAGGGUUGGCACUCAUAAUUCCUGUAACAUGA